ACCUGGGUGGCUGAGUUAGUUAAGCAUCUGACUUUGGGUCAGGUUCACAAGUUUGAACCCUGCUUCGGGUG
rnacentral:tRNA from 1 species